GGGGAUUUAGCUCAGCGGCAUAAGCGCCUGCCUUGCAAACAGGCAGCCGUGAGUUCAAUCCCCG
rnacentral:tRNA from 1 species